rnacentral:lncRNA from 1 species
AGGCCAAACCCAACAGAAGCUCACUGCCAAGCCUUCAGAGCUCGCAAGGAUGCUUUGCAAGAAUCUGGGGUGCAGUCUGUGAAGUGUCACUGAGUCGAGACCACUUCCUGUCCCUUCUCUAUCCAGAUGGCACAGACCUUAUGAAGGACCUGGUUCAGUACUCCCGUGCAGUUACAGAUCAUCAUCACAGCAGGACGGGUGAUGUCAGUCUCUUUGAAGAUGUCCAAGACCCUGCGUGAAGCUGAAAGGAGGCUGUGUCUGGCAGAAGACACCACACUGAAAUAGAAGAAAUAGACCCUGCCUCUCCCCCACUUCUCCUCAGGUGGGGAGAAAGUUACAGGACAGGCAGCAUCAGCAGAAUGAGCCAUCAACGGAUGCUGAUAGAGCAUUGAUCAAGGCAAUGUAGCCGAGGACAACCCAAGGCUGUGAAGCCAAGCCCACAGAACUCAGGAGCCAUUGCAUCAAAGUAAUUGCUGGGUUCACUCACCAUUCCUCAGUUCCUGAAGUGGCCACCAGGAGGCAGUGCUCCCGGGCAUCUCCCAGGCACUCUUGGACCAUCUGAUCUCUCACAUCUGAUCUCUCAGCUGGAUCUCAUGGAGGCAUUCCCACAACUGAAGCUCCUUUCUCUGUGACAACUCCAGCUUGUGUCAAGUUGACACACAAAACCAGCCAAUACAGUAGGUGACCCCAGAGCAGCUGCAUUGCUGGUAAGUCUCACCCUAGCUUGGACACUGACUUCCCUAUGACUGUAUAGAUGGAGUCUCUCCCCUCUUCAGCCAACUUUCCACUCUCUAUAUGUUCUAGCAUCUCCUGAGGUUACAUGUGAUUUGGGCAGGAUUAUAAGCAGGUGGCAGGGUAGGGAGGUGACUGAGAUCUCAGAUGACAGUCCCGGGAUUCCCCCACCCCCUCCUUUUGCAAAGGGCCAUGAAUAGUCACAGCUGCUUCUGAUGAAGAUGGUGAUGGCUGGUAUGCUUAGGAGACCGUUUGCAACAAGUGCCCUGAAGACACCCGGGGCUCACUCAAGAGGAGUCAAUGGACGUAGCUGCUUGUCUUGGGGUUCAGCAGCACAAUCUUUAGGGUACGUAGAGGAAGGAAUGGGAGGAGCCUGAGACCCCUAACAGUGGACCUCUGGAAUAAUCCAUCAGUCUGUUGUACUCAUCUUUGGUUUUGUGGCAAAUGUUUUAUCUCUGAGUCAUGUCUAUUUCCUACUGCGAUGGAGGAUCAGCCUCUUGGCCCUCUCUGGUGGCUGUCCUUGGCUAGCAGAGCAGCGACUGUUCAGGUGUGGUGGUGGAGGAGUGACAUCUGCAGGCCUGGGAGGUAAGGAGCAGUUGUGCUCUCACUGAGCAAUCUGGGUCAUCUCAUUGCGUGGGUUGGGAUUUUAAUACUUUACCUCUGGGAAAAGGAAUUAUAAAAUUACACAGCAGCUAUGAAAGCACCUCCUCGAAAACAUGAGGCUCCUAGAUUCCUGCAUGUCCCCUCCUCACUGUUAGUGUCACCCACAAAGUAUUUUCCUAGAAGCAGAUUAAUGUGAUUAUUCGUGAGCUUAGCCAAAGAGGCUUGCAGGGAAACAGGAAAUGAAAAUGUGAACUCAGAACUGAACAGCAGCAUCCAGCUAGGGCAGCUGGGCUUCACUCGGCUUUGAAACCUUGGGUGAAUCGAUUUUGACCUUUCUGUGCUUGGGUUAGCUCAUCUGUUACAGUAACACUGCAGCCUGGAAAAAAGGAACUCACCCGGUGGCUAAUGAAGAAAUGCAAUGCAGACUCUCAGAACCUCGGGAACAGCCGCUAAUGACAAACUGCAGGGAGAUUCACGAUCAUGGCUGCGGUGGUGAGAAAGGAAGGAUGCAGGGGAAGAGUGGAGGCUGGACUUCCACAUUCCCAUCCAUUUCUUUCAUGUAGAAAAUACUGGAGGAAGACUGGGGAUGGGGCAUGUGGCUGAAUAGUUGCUUUGUGUGUGUCAGGUCGUGGGUUCAAGCCUCAGUACUGAAAACUAAAAAAAUUAGAAUAAAUAUGUUCACGAUGUGAACGGAACAUAACACUAAUUGCACCGUGCACUGGAAAAUGCUGGAAACAUGGCUCUGAAAAGAUUUAUCUGGGUAGGGGAGCUGAAAAGAUGGCUUGGUGGUUAAAGGGGCUACUGCUCUUCUAGGGGAUCUCGGUUCCGUUUCCAGGAUGAGGCAGGAAGAUUACAAAUUUGAAGACAGUUCGGACAACAGAAUGAGAGGCAUCUUGUCUCAACAGGCCAAAGAGCAAACUAAAGAAAACAAGCAAGCAAACC